GACGAACGCUGGCGGCGUGCCUAAUACAUGCAAGUCGAACGAACCGCGACUGAGUUCUUGCACUUGGUCAAGGCGAGUGGCGAACGGGUGAGUAACACGUGGGUAACCUACCUCAUAGUGGUGGCUAACAGUCGGAAACGACUGCUAAUACCGCAUAGUACAUGGAAUCACAUGAUUCUGUGAGGAAAGGUGGCGCAAGCUAUCUCUAAGAGUUGGACCCGCGGUGCAUUAGCUAGUUGGUAGGGUAAGGGCCUACCAAGGCGAUGUUGCAUAGCCGACCUGAGAGGGUGAUCGGCCACAUUGGGACUGAGACACGGCCCAGACUCCUACGGGAGGCAGCAGUAGGGAAUCUUCCGCAAUGGACGAAAGUCUGACGGAGCAACGCCGCGUGAGUGAAGAAGGUCUUCGGAUCGUAAAGCUCUGUUGUUAGGGAAGAACAGCGCAUAGAGUAACUGUUAUGCGUGUGACGGUAUCUAACCAGAAAGCCACGGCUAACUACGUG
rnacentral:rRNA from 1 species